UUUGAUAAAAGCUGGUGUUGAAAAUGGACUUUAAUAGGUUCAUUACCUGUGCACAUGGCAAAGACCUCCUUUGCCUCAAGCAAACGCAUGCGCAAGUUAGAGCGGAGCGGACCUGCAGCGCGAUCCUGGGCUAGCGAAGCGCACGUACCUCGUCCAACUGCCUGAAGGACGCUGUCCUUACGCGCGGAGGACGCCGGACCGGAGCGCGCAACGCCGCAGCCCCGCGGGACACACGGGAGACGGUUAUAGAUAACAUGACAUUUCGCCUCUGGGAUUUCACACCCUCCUACAGUCUCCUCCCACAUUGUACAGGGUUGGUCCAGUAGAAUACGGAAGUAGUGAUGGCCUGUCUCGUCUGGAAUUAAGUUACAAAAGACACAUGGCUGCAUCUUGCCUUCUCUCUCUCCCUCUCCCUCUCAUCACUUGCUCUGGGGGAAGUCAGCUGCCAUGUCGCUAGUAGCCCCAUGGAGAAGCCCAUGUGGCAAAGAAAGCCUCAUGGACACAGAUCUCCAAGCCCCAGUCAAGUGUCAGAUGACUGCAAACCCCACCACAUCUAGAUGGGAGCCCCCUGAGAGACCCCGCGUCAGAACCACCGGCUAAGCCAGUCCCAGAUUCCUGACCCUCAGAAACUGUGCAAGAUAAUAAUUUCUACUGCUUUAACCUGCUAAAUUUGGGGCUCAAUUGGUAGUACAGACAGAACACAUUUGGAUACCUUUGCAGGCGGGGUGCUGUGACAGAAACCCAAAAUGUGGGAGUGGCUUUGGCACCAGGCGGUGGGCUUUGUUGAGAGCAUCGGUAAAUGCCUGGAGCACCUUGAAGAAGCUGUGAAUUAAAGAGUCCAGGUCGUUAAAGAUUCAGGUCAGAGCUUGCAGGAAAGUGUCAGAAACUGGGGGAAGGGAUCCUGGUGAUGCUGUUGCCUGCAGUCAUGUGGACAGAGGAAAAUGCACCCGAUGAACUCGUGAUCUAGUCAAGGAGAUUUGGAGCCAAAACGUUUUCAGUGCUGCCUGCUUUCUGCUAGUUGCUUAUAGUAAGAUGCCAGAGGAGAGAGAGAAAUGAACGGAAGGGUCGUUAAGCAGAAAGGAGCUGGGACUGGAAGGUUUUCAGCCGGGCCAGAUGACAAAUUAUGCUAGAAUCAAGGAAUGGCUUCCAAGCAAAAGUCCAAAUUCAGGGCCCUGCCAGAAAACCUGUGGUCCAGAGACAGACCCUAGGCUGUGCCUGUAAAUAAUUUUUAAAAGAUUUCAGAAAGAUAUAAAGCCAUACCCCAUAGUCCUUUUGUCAGACAAAAGGCCCUCUAAGGAGAGUAAAGGUGUGCCUCCCUGCCGUGGCCCGAGUGCUUGUGAGAUUAAAGGUGUACCCCACAUGUGAGGUCACAAGAAGUCGGCAGCCUGGAGGAGGGCCCUCACCAGAACCCAGCCUUGCUGGCACCCUGGUCUCAGAAUUCCAGCCUCCAGAACUGUGAGGAAUAAGUUUCUGUUGCUUAUAAAUUCCCCAGCCUGUGGUGUUUUGUUACAGCAGCCCCAGUGGACCAAGACACUCACAGACCCUCUCAAUCAAAGGAUAAUGCUCCUCAGGGCUUCCCUGGUGGUCCAGUGGUUAGGGCUCCACGCUUCCACUGCAGGGGGCAUGGGUUCGAUCCCUGGUCAGGGAACUAAGAUCCUGCAUGCCACAAAAAAAAAAAAAAAACAGUGCUCCUAGAAGCUUCGGAUCAUUGCCCCUCUGCUGUCUGCAGAAACCCUAUCUUUGUGGAGAAGGGCUCAUCUCAAAGAGAUUUAGGGGUGUUGACUUUGCCUAAUGGAGUAGAUCCCAUGAAGAUUCACAGGAAAUCCAUAAAGUUUUUAUGAGAAUUAUAUGUACAGAAUCAUUACUAACUUGGACUGAAAGGGACAGAGCCAGUACAAAAUAAAAAGAGGUCUUUGGACCCUCAGAGUUCUACUGGCAGGAAGCAGGCUGAGAAUGUUACUCAGCUGCUAACACGUGAUACCUUUCAUGUUACAGCAUGAUACCUUUCCUUUCAUGGAAAAGGAAGGAUGACUCACAGGGAAAAACCAAGAGCCCAGAGGGCAGUCCAAAGCCUUGGAGUAUGGUUCCCAAGACUUGAGACAUAAUUAAGGAACUUAGGAUGUUUGCUUGGCUUGGAAUCUAUAUGGACCAGCAACUUCUUCACGCUCUCAUCUUCUCCCUUUUUCAGCAAGAGUUUCUAGAGUGGUUAUUCUGUCUGUCCCCUUGUAUGUUCAGUAGGAGAGGGUUUACGAACUGAAUAUUCGUGUCCCCUUAAAGUUCAUGUUGAAGCCCUAACCCCCAAUGUGAUGGUAUUUGGAGGUGGAGAUUUUGGAAGUAAUUAGGUUUAGAUGAGGCCAUGGGGGUGGGGUCCUCAUGAUGGGAUUAGUACCCUUGUAAAGAGACCAGAGAGCUAGUUCUGUCUCUCUCUCUUCCAUGUGAGGAUACAGUAAGAAGUCAGCCAAAAAGAAAAAGAAGUCAGCCAGGUCCAAGCCAGGAAGAGAGUCCUCACCAGAACACAACCAUGCAGAUCACUUGCUCUGGGAGAAGCCAGCCGCCCUCUGGAGAGGCCCACUUGCUGAGGAGCUGAGGCUGCUGGCCAAAAUCAGCAAGGAGCUCUCUUCCAACAGAGAGAAAACAAGAUGCCUGGGCCAUCUUGGACGCAGAGCCUCUGGCCCCAGUCAAGUUUCAGAUGACCGCGGUCUGGCCAGCAACUGGAUGGUAACCUCCUGAGAGACCCUGAGCCAGAGCCACCCAGCAAAGCCACUCCCAGAUUCCUGAC